rnacentral:rRNA from 1 species
ACGCUUGACACCUACGGGAGGAGCAGUGGGGAAUAUUGCACAAUGGGGGAAACCCUGAUGCAGCGACGCCGCGUGGAGGAAGAAGGUCUUCGGAUUGUAAACUCCUGUUGUUGGGGAAAAAGAGGAUGGUACCCAACAAGGAAGUGACGGCUAACUACGUGCCAGCAGCCGCGGUAAUCUGAGCGGGCUGGCAAGGC